AACGCUGAAGGAGGAGCUUGCUUCUCUGGAUGAGUUGCGAACGGGUGAGUAACGCGUAGGUAACCUGCCUGGUAGCGGGGGAUAACUAUUGGAAACGAUAGCUAAUACCGCAUAAUAGUAGAUGUUGCAUGAUAUUUGCUUAAAAGGUGCAAUUGCAUCACUACCAGAUGGACCUGCGUUGUAUUAGCUAGUUGGUGAGGUAACGGCUCACCAAGGCGACGAUACAUAGCCGACCUGAGAGGGAUGUCCCCCACACUGGUACUGAGAUACGGACCAGACUCCUACGGGAGGCAGCAGUGAGGAAUAUUGGACAAUGGUCGGAAGACUGAUCCAGCCAUGCCGCGUGCAGGAUGAAGGUCUUAUGGAUUGUAAACUGCUUUUGUAAGGGAAGAAUAAGGGCUACGCGUAGUUUGAUGACGGUACCUUAUGAAUAAGCAUCGGCUAACUCCGUGCCAGCAGCCGCGGUAAUACGGAGGAUGCGAGCGUUAUCCGGAAUCAUUGGGUUUAAAGGGUCUGUAGGCGGGCUGGUAAGUCAGAGGUGAAAGCGCUCAGCUCAACUGAGCAACUGCCUUUGAAACUGUUGGUCUUGAAUGGUUGUGAAGUAGUUGGAAUGUGUAGUGUAGCGGUGAAAUGCUUAGAUAUUACACAGAACACCGAUAGCGAAGGCAUAUUACUAACAAUUAAUUGACGCUGAUGGACGAAAGCGUGGGGAGCGAACAGGAUUAGAUACCCUGGUAGUCCACGCUGUAAACGAUGGAUACUAGCUGUUUGGUUUAAGGAUUGAGUGGCUAAGCGAA
rnacentral:rRNA from 1 species